GAGUUUGAUCCUGGCUCAGGACGAACGCUGGCGGCGUGCUUAACACAUGCAAGUCGAACGGAAAGGCCCUGCUUUUGUGGGGUGCUCGAGUGGCGAACGGGUGAGUAACACGUGAGUAACCUGCCCUUGACUUUGGGAUAACUUCAGGAAACUGGGGCUAAUACCGGAUAGGAGCUCCUGCUGCAUGGUGGGGGUUGGAAAGUUUCGGCGGUUGGGGAUGGACUCGCGGCUUAUCAGCUUGUUGGUGGGGUAGUGGCUUACCAAGGCUUUGACGGGUAGCCGGCCUGAGAGGGUGACCGGCCACAUUGGGACUGAGAUACGGCCCAGACUCCUACGGGAGGCAGCAGUGGGGAAUAUUGCACAAUGGGCGGAAGCCUGAUGCAGCAACGCCGCGUGCGGGAUGACGGCCAUCGGGUUGUAAACCGCUUUCGCCUGUGACGAAGCGUGAGUGACGGUAAUGGGUAAAGAAGCACCGGCUAACUACGUGCCAGCAGCCGCCGCCGUAAG
rnacentral:rRNA from 1 species